CCAUAUGAAGAAAGGUAGAUGAGUUUAUAGACUGCUUGAAUUGAAUUUGUGAUCUCCCAUUGAAAGUAUAGGUGAACAGGAUGCCAAUAAGAGCUCUCUGGACAACUGUAAAUAACAAUCAAUGUUGAAAAGGAAGAAAAUCAAGCCAGAAAUCAAAAUAUUUUCCAUUCCCUGCAGAAAACCAUACAAAUCUGCUCCUCCUCCAGCAGCUGUUUGAGAGAGAAAGCCAAGAAAGAAUGAGCAGAUUAUGCAGAACUCAACGAUAUAUUACAUGAGAGGUGAAGGGGGGUUAUUUAUAAUUCAGCAAAAGAGGAAAUAAAAAUCUGGAAGUCUGUUGGGAGGAAAAGAUCAAUAGUAAAGUCACAGUAAUGUGAGGAAGAAGACUGCUGGAAUAAAAGUACCAUUAAACAAGGUAUUGUUUACUGAAUGUGGCAAAAGCUAUGCUCACAACAGCUCCCUUGUGGUUCAUGGAAGCAUCUCCACACAAGAAGGAAGCCACAAAAGUGCUCCCAAUGUGGUAAAUGCUUUAGUGAGCAUGGCAACAUGGUGCUGCAUCCGAUAACUCACAGGAGGGAUAAAACAUAUAACGGUGCAGAUUGUGUGAAAGUUUCAUUAGAAAUUCCCAGGUCUUGAGACCCUGAAGGACGCAUACACAAGAAUAGAACCAUUUGAACAUCCUUUCUAUGGGAAAAGUUUCACUGAGAAUUCCAUCCUGAUGAAGAACCCGAGGACUCUCACAAAAGUGAAACCCUUUGAAUGUCCUGAUUGUGGAAAAACAUUUAGUCACAAUUUCAGUCUGGUGAUUGAUCUGUAGAUUGACUCCAAGGAGAAACUGUAUGAGUGUUUAGAUUGUGGGAAAAGCUUCAUUAUAAACUCUAUUUCACCAGAGAACUCACCCAGAAGAAAAACCCUUUGAAUAUCCUAUUUAUGGGAAAGUCACAAUUCCAGCUGGUGAUACAUUAGAAGAAAAUGCUUUGAAUGUUCUGAUUUUUGGAAAACUUUCAGUUAUAAUUCCAUCUUGGUGAUACCCUAGAGGAAUCAUAAAUGAGAAAAACCCAUUAAUUGUCGGAGAAAUUUCUGUCGUAAUUUCCACCUGGUAAAUACAUCAGAGGAUUCGCUCCAUGGUGAAAUCUUAUAAGUGUCAAGAUUGUGGGAAAGGUUUCAUUAGAAAUUCCCAACUCCUAAAACACAAGACCACACACAUAAGAGAAAAAACAUUUGAAUGUCCUGACUUUGGGAAAAGUUUCAGUCGGAAUUCACACCUGGUGAUACACCAGAGGACUCACACAGGAGAGAAACCUUUUGAAUGUCCUAUCUGUAGGAAAAGCUUUAGUAAUUAUUGGACCCUGGUGACACUCCAGAGGUCUCACACAGGAGAGAAACCCUAUGAAUGUCCUGAUUGUGGGAAAAGCUUUCAUCGGAAUUCCCAUCUGGUGACACACCAGAGGACUCACACAGGAGAGAAACCCUUUGAAUGUCCUGAUUGUGGGAAAAGCUUCAGUCAGAAUUCCAACCGGGUGAAACACCAGAGGACUCACACAGGAGAGAAACCCUUUGAAUGUCCUGAUUGUGGGAAAAGCUUUAGUGAUAAUUCCUCUCUGAUGAUACACCAGAGGACUCACACAGGAGAGAAACUCUUUGAAUGUCCUGACUGUGGGAAAAGCUUUCGUCGGAAUUCCCAUCUGGUGACACACCAGAGGACUCACACAGGAGAGAAACCCUUUGAAUGUCCUGAUUGUGGGAAAAGCUUUAGUUAUAAUUCCUCUCUGGUGAUACACCAGAGGACACACACAGGAGAGAAACCCUUUGCAUGUCCUGUCUGUGGGAAAAGCUUUAAUCGGAAUGGCUACCUGGUGAUACACCAGAGGUCUCACACAGGAGAGAAACACUUUGAAUGUCCUAUCUGUGGGAAAAGCUUUAGUAUUAAUUCCUCUCUGGUGACACACCAGAGGACACACACAGGAGAGAAACCCUUUGAAUGUUCUGAUUGUGGGAAACAUUACAGUCAUAAUUCCCACCUGGUGAUACACCAGAGGACUCACACAGGAGAGAAACCCUUUGAAUGUCCUAUCUGUGGGAAAAGCUUUAGUAAUAAUUCCUCUCUGGUGACACACCAUAGGACACACACAGGAGAGAAACCCUUUGAAUGUCCUACCUGUGGGAAAAGCUUUAGUAAGAAUUCCUCUCUGGUGACACACCAGAGGACUCACACAGGAGAGAAACCCUUUGAAUGUAAUGAUUGUGGGAAAAGCUUUAGUUAUAAUUCCUCUCUGGUGACACAGCAGAGGACACACACAGGAGAGAAACCCUUUGAAUGUUCUGAUUGCGGGAAACAUUACAGUCAGAAUUCCCACCUGGUGAUACACCAGAGGACUCACACAGGAGAGAAACCCUUUGAAUGUCCUGACUGUGGGAAAAGAUUUCGUCGGAAUUCCCAUCUGGUGACACACCAGAGGACUCACACAGGAGAGAAACCCUUUGAAUGUCCUGAUUGUGGGAAAAGCUUCAGUCAGAAUUCCCACCUGGUGACACACCAGAGGACUCACACAGGAGAGAAACCCUUUGCAUGUCCUAUCUGUGGGAAAAGUUUCAGUCAGAAUGGCGAACUGGUGAAACACCAGAGAUCUCACACAGGAGAGAAACCCUUUGAAUGUCCUAUCUGUGGGAAAAGCUUUAGUAAUAAUUCCUCUCUGGUGAUACACCAGAGGACUCACACAGGAGAGAAACCCUUUGAAUGUCCUAUCUGUGGGAAAAGCUUUAGUAAUAAUUCCUCUCUGGUUAUACACCAGAGGAAUCACACAGGAGAGAAACCCUUUGACUGUCCUGAUUGUGGGAAAAGCUUCAGUCAGAAUUCCAACCUGGUGAAACACCAGAGGACUCACACAGGAGAGAAACCCUUUGAAUGUCCUGAUUGUGGGAAAAGCUUCAGUCAGAAUUCCCACCUGGUGACACACCAGAGGACUCACACAGGAGAGAAACCCUUUGCAUGUCCUAUCUGUGGGAAAAGUUUUAGUCAGAAUGGCGAACUGGUGAAACACCAGAGGUCUCACACAGGAGAGAAACCCUUUGAAUGUCCUAUCUGUGGGAAAAGCUUUAGUAAUAAUUCCUCUCUGGUGACACACCAGAGGACUCACACAGGAGAGAAACCCUUUGAAUGUCCUAUCUGUGGGAAAAGCUUUAGUAAUAAUUCCUCUCUGGUUACACACCAGAGGAAUCACACAGGAGAGAAACCCUUUGACUGUCCUGAUUGUGGGAAAAGCUUCAGUCAGAAUUCCAACCUGGUGAAACACCAGAGGACUCACACAGGAGAGAAACCCUUUGAAUGUCCUGAUUGUGGGAAAAGCUUUAGUGUUAAUUCCUCUCUGGUGACACACCAGAGGACACACACAGGAGAGAAACCCUUUGCAUGUCCUAUCUGUGGGAAAAGCUUUAGUCGGAAUGGCGACCUGGUGAUACACCAGGGAUCUCACACAGGAGAGAAACCCUUUGAAUGUCCUAUCUGUGGGAAAAGCUUUUGUCAGAAAGGCGACCUUGUGAUACACCAGAGGUCUCACACAGGAGAGAAACCCUUUGAAUGUCCUAUCUGUGGGAAAAGCUUUAGUCAGAAUUCCAACCUGGUGACACACCAGAGGACUCACACAGGAGAGAAACCCUUUGAAUGUCCUGAUUGUGGGAAAAGCUUCAGUCAGAAUUCCCACCUGGUGAUACACCAGAGGACUCACACAGGAGAGAAACCCUUUGAAUGUCCUAUCUGUGGGAAAAGCUUUAGUCAGAAAUCAUCCCUUAUUGCACACAAGAUAAUCCAUAUGAAGAAAGGUAGAUGAGUUUAUAGACUGCUUGAAUUGAAUUUGUGAUCUCCCAUUGAAAGUAUAGGUGAACAGGAUGCCAAUAAGAGCUCUCUGGACAACUGUAAAUAACAAUCAAUGUUGAAAAGGAAGAAAAUCAAGCCAGAAAUCAAAAUAUUUUCCAUUCCCUGCAGAAAACCAUACAAAUCUGCUCCUCCUCCAGCAGCUGUUUGAGAGAGAAAGCCAAGAAAGAAUGAGCAGAUUAUGCAGAACUCAACGAUAUAUUACAUGAGAGGUGAACAGGAUGCCAAUAAGAGCUCUCUGGACAACUGUAAAUAACAAUCAAUGUUGAAAAGGAAGAAAAUCAAGCGAGAAAUCAAAAUAUUUUCCAUUCCCUGCAGAAAACCAUACAAAUCUGCUCCUCCUCCAGCAGCUGUUUGAGAGAGAAAGCCAAGAAAGAAUGAGCAGAUUAUGCAGAACUCAACGAUAUAUUACAUGAGAGGUGAAGGGGGGUUAUUUAUAAUUCAGCAAAAGAGGAAAUAAAAACCUGGAAGUCUGUUGGGAGGAAAAGAUCAAUAGUAAAGUCAUAUAGAAGAGACAAUAAUGCAGGUGACAGUAAUGUGAGGAAGAAGACUGCUUGAAUAAAAGUACCAUUAAACAAGGUAUUGUUUACUGAAUGUGGCAAAAGCUAUGCUCACAACAGCUCCCUUGUGGUUCAUGGAAGCAUCUCCACACAAGAAGGAAGCCACAAAAGUGCUCCCAAUGUGGUAAAUGCUUUAGUGAGCAUGGCAACAUGGUGCUGCAUCCGAUAACUCACAGGAGGGAGAAAACAUAACGGUGCAGAUUGUGUGAAAGUUUCAUUAGAAAUUCCCAGGUCUUGAGACCCUAAAGGACGCAUACACAAGAAUAGAACCAUUUGAACAUCCUUUCUAUGGGAAAAGUUUCACUGAGAAUUCCAUCCUGAUGAAGCACCCGAGGAUUCUCACAAAAGUGAAACCCUUUGAAUGUCCUGAUUGUGGAAAAACAUUUAGUCACAAUUUCAGUCUGGUGAUUGAUCUGUAGAUUGACUCCAAGGAGAAACUGUAUGAGUGUUUAGAUUGUGGGAAAAGCUUCAUUAUAAACUCUAUUUCACCAGAGAACUCACCCAGAAGAAAAACCCUUUGAAUAGCCUAUUUAUGGGAAAGUCACAAUUCCAGCUGGUGAUACAUUAGAAGAAAAUGCUUUGAAUGUUCUGAUUUUUGGAAAACUUUCAGUUAUAAUUCCAUCUUGGUGAUACCCUAGAGGAAUCAUAAAUGAGAAAAACCCAUUAAUUGUCGGAGAAAUUUCUGUCGUAAUUUCCACCUGGUAAAUACAUCAGAGGAUUCGCUCCAUGGUGAAAUCUUAUAAGUGUCAAGAUUGUGGGAAAGGUUUCAUUAGAAAUUCCCAACUCCUAAAACACAAGACCA